UCAAGCUACUAAGGGCACGAGGUGAAUGCCUUGGCUCCAGAAGUCGAUGAAGGACGUAGUAAGUUGCGAUAAGCCGCGGGGAGCGACAAACACGCGCUGAUCCGUGGAUUUCCGAAUGGGGAAACCCGGCCAAUCAUGGUCGAUGUCAUGUGAAUUCAUAGCAUGGCAUCGGGACACCCGCUGAAGUGAAACAUCUCAGUAAGCGGAGGAAAAGAAAUCAAAGAGAUUCCGUAAGUAGUGGCGAGCGAAAGCGGAACAGCCUAAACCAAGGGAGUUUACUCCUUUGGGGUUGUGGGACCUCCACAUAGGUACGACCAAGAGAAGCUAAUCAGUUUGGAAAACUGAACCAGAGAGGGUGAUAGUCCCGUGAGUGUAAUUGAGGAAGUUCUAGAGGUAUCCCGAGUAAUGCGGGACACGUGAAACCCUGCAUGAAUCCAGGCGGACCACCGUCUAAGGCUAAAUACUAACUGGAGACCGAUAGUGAACAAGUACCGUGAGGGAAAGGUGAAAAGGACCCCUGCUAGGGGAGUUUAAAGUUCCUGAAACCCCGUGCCUACAAAGUGUGGGAGCAUCUUCGGAUGUGACCGCGUGCCUUUUGCAUAAUGAGUCUGCGAGUUAUUGUCAGUGGCAAGCCUAAGCACUAAUGGUGCGUAGGCGAAGCGAAAGCGAGUGUGAAUAGCGCGACCAGUCGCUGGCGAUAGACCCGAAGCGGAGGUGAUCUAACCAUGAGCAGGUUGAAGCUGAGGUAAAACUCAGUGAAGGACCGAACCGUUGUACGUUGAAAAGUGCUCGGAUGACUUGUGGUUAGGAGUGAAAGGCUAAUCAAACCCCGUGAUAGCUGGUUCUCUUCGAAAUAGCUUUAGGGCUAGCGUCGGGAAAGUACUCCGAGGAGGUAGAGCACUGAUUGGCUUAGGGUCCCUAACAGGAUACCAAAACCAGUUAAACUCCGAAUGCCUCGGAUCCCAUUAUCCCGGCAGUCAGUCGGCGAGUGAUAAGAUCCGUCGUCGAAAGGGAAACAACCCAGACCAUCGGCUAAGGUGCCCAAAUACCGCUCAGUGGUAAGGAUGUGACGUUACACAGACAGUGAGGAUGUUGGCUUAGAAGCAGCCACCAUUUAAACAGUGCGUAACAGCUGACUCAUCGAGUGACGUUGCGCCGAAAAUGAUUGGCGAUCAAGCGGUAUACCGAAGCCAUGGAUGUCUUAGGACAUGGUAGAAGAGCGUAGUCAGGCCAUCGAAGCUUUCCUGUGAAGGGGGGUGGAGGGCUGACUAGUGAGAAUGCAGACAUGAGUAGCGAUAAACAAAGUGAGAAUCUUUGUCUCCGUAAACCCAAGGUUUCCUGGGCCAGGCUCGUCCCCCCAGGGUUAGUCGGGACCUAAGGCGAGGCCGAAAGGCGUAGUCGAUGGAUAACAGGUUAAUAUUCCUGUACUAAGGUACAAUAUGGGACGCAUGAUGAAGGAUGGCACACACUAUGAUAUGUGAGUCUAGGCUUCGGCCGAAACGCGCCAUUUGAAUUUGUGCCGAGAAAACCGUACCGGCCCGUACCGUAUACCGACACAGGUAGGUGAGUCGAAUAGACUAAGGAGCGCGAGAGAAAUCUCUCCAAGGAACUCGGCAAAUUAGCCCCGUAACUUCGGGAGAAGGGGUGCCCACUUCGGUGGGCCACAGUAAAUUGGGACUGGCGACUGUUUACCAAAAACACAGCUCUCUGCUAAGUCGUGAAGACGACGUAUAGGGAGUGACACGUGACCAAUGCGGAAAGAUUAAGGUGACUUGUUAGCACUUGAUGCGAAGCUCGGAGCCCAAGUCCCCGUGAAUGUCGGCCGUAACUAUAACGGUCCUAAGGUAGCGAAAUUCCUUGUCGGGUAAGUUCCGACCUGCACGAAUCGUGCAACGACCGGUCCGCUGUCUCGGAGAGAAUCUCGGCGAAGUUGUAAUUGCGGUGAAGAUGCCGCAUACCC
rnacentral:rRNA from 1 species